GGCUUUGUGGUCUAGUAGCAUGAUUCCUCAUUUGGGUUUACAACCACAACUUGAGGAGGUCCUGGGUUCAACUCCCAGCGGAGCCC